UAAAUUGACUUAGCGGCGGACGGGUGAGUAACGCGUGGGUAACCUGCCUUACACUGGGGGAUAACAGUUAGAAAUGACUGCUAAUACCGCAUAAGCGCACAGGGCCGCAUGGUCCGGUGUGAAAAACUCCGGUGGUGUAAGAUGGACCCGCGUCUGAUUAGGUAGUUGGUGGGGUAACGGCCCACCAAGCCGACGAUCAGUAGCCGACCUGAGAGGGUGACCGGCCACAUUGGGACUGAGACACGGCCCAAACUCCUACGGGAGGCAGCAUG
rnacentral:rRNA from 1 species